CUGGAUGACUGACAGCUGUCCUUCAUGACAACAGAAGACACAGAAAUCCUCCUCAUCAGAAACAUGACUUUGGUCUCCGUCCUCAUCUGGACUCUCCUCUGCUUCACUCAGGGGUCUGUUGGACAAAAUGUUGUUGUGACUCAGUCAGCAGCCAAAUCAGUGCAGCUUGGUCAAACUGUCACUGUUGAUUGCAAGGCCAGUUCACAAGUUGGAUCAUGCUGUUCCCCAACAAAAUACUUCCUGUCCUGGUACCAUCAGAAAACUGGAGAAGUUCCUAAACUUUUGAUCUACUACAUAUCAGACAGAUUUUCAGGAAUCUCCUCCAGAUUCAGUGGAAGUGGAGCAGGGAAUGGAGUUGACUUCACUCUGACCAUCAGUGGAGUCCAGGCUGAAGAUGCAGGAGUUUACUACUGUCAGAGUGCACAUUACGUCAACAGCCAAUGGGUGUUCACACAGUGAAAAAGCAUCGUACAAAAACCUCCCUCUGUCAGGUUGAACAGAAACUGAACUGACUGCU